AGAUGUUAAAAGCAAGAGACAUGGGAGAGCAUCAUUCCUUUGAGAUUUUAUAACACAAACCAACUUUGGAGUUGUCUGAUUUGGAGAGUCAUUAUUCUUGGUCUUCGCUCUUAGAGGCCACUGAUGAAGAACAGGCGGUGACUGGGAUGAAUGCUGGUCAGAGAGGAGAAUCUUCUUUCCCCUAAACUGAUGCAGCGGUGGUUUUAAAGGAGGACGCUGCCCUGGAUGAUGUAGAUGUCACAUGCUGUGCUGAUGGGGUUUCUUCAUGAUUACAUCAGUUAUGCUAAAGAGAUCAUGAAAAUUGACUGUGAUGCAUGAUCUGUAUUCAUGGACUAUGAAACAAACUGUAAGUGUAUAAUUUGUUUUAAAAAAAAAAAGUUAAAUGCUUUUUCUGUGUUGUUUAGUAGAAGAGUUUACACUCUGUCAUUCAUACACCUGCUCACAUUCUUUCACACACACACACACACACACACACACAUGCGUCUGUUAAAUGUUAUAAUAUCAAAGUUAAUGUUGUGAUUUAUUUGUGUACUGUCAUGCCAGAAUAGUUGGAAAAAAACCUAACUAAUUGUAAAUUUAUUGUAUGUGUUUUCGUAUAUUUUUAUACAAUAUAUACAAUUGAACAAAGUCCAAUUUGAUUUUAAGUUAUAUUCAUCAAAUGUUCAAUGCUUUAUGAACUCUGUAGCUGUUAAUGCCAUCCUUUUCUGCAUUUCUUCUAACAUGUUACUUUUUGACUUUUCUCUUGUUUUUAAUAAAUAUUUUCCUUUUGGUUAUUAUUUGUGUGUAAAAGUGAUAUUUAAAAUGAACAACAUUUGUAGGUUUAAUGCCUAGCUCAAUUUGGGUUAAUUUUAACGUAGAAAUGCAUUGUUUCCCCACAUGGCUGCACUCUGCGAGUUUAUUUUCUGCCAGCAGGAGGCGCUAAGAGCGGGAGAGGUAGGUUUCUCCGGUAACGGCUGCAGAGCAGCGCUGAGCUCACAAACGCUGCCUUAUCAAGCACAUGCGAAAUGAUAUCGAACAUUUUCUAAAUACAGUAGUUUUCCUUCUGAAAUACACUGAUAAAAAACACCCGCUCUGUUUUUUUAAAC